CGCCUCCCCUCCUUUCCCUUCUCCUUUCUCUUUCCUUCUCUCUUUUGAUUAAUUACCUACUAAAUGCCAGGUGAAAUGUAACCAGUGGUUACCCUAUUGUAAAUUGCAGACACCUUUGGACAAAUACAGCCUAUGAUUCUUCAAUAAGGAAAUGCAUUGAAAUGGGUGUUAAGAAGCAAGAUUCGUUUUGGGUUCUCCCCAGAUGAUCUUGGAGAAAGUCUGCUGCUGUGAAGGCUCAGCAGGGGCGGGAGAAUCCAAGAAGGAAGAAUUUAGCGUUGGUGCUCCCGCCACAUGGUCACACACCCUGCUACUGCUUUCUGCGUGGACUGCUGAGAUUCAAGGCAGCUGGAACCUGCUUGGUUCUCUUGACCCUUUGCAUCCUGGUGGGCUCUGAUGACGGAAAACGCUGCCUGCCUGCCUCUUCUCCUGGACUGACUCCCUAACGUCCUAAUGUCUGAGGGACAAAUCCUCGCGAUCUCUCGCCAAGGGAGCCCUCAGCCAGGACCCUGAAGGCCCACUGGUUGGCAAAGACAAAGCGAUACAUACCUGGUGUCUGAACAGCGGUAGGAGAAAAUAAGAGCCUUUCUCUUUCUCAGGACUUGCCAUACAGCUUGCUUGCUUUCUUUUUUUUCUUACUGUUCUUUUUUUGUUUCUUUUUCUUUUUUUGGUCUUAGAAGCUGUUUUCAAAGACCAGCUGAAUUGUAGCUCAGAAGAAAAAAAUGGAAAAGACAAGUAAACAUCCAGAAAUCUGGAAAGAAGAAAGAAAAUCUCAUGAAUGUAACUCUGACCUCAGCUGACUCAAAUAAAGGUGUUCAUUACCGAACGAUUAGAACCACCUACACAGGACAAAGUGAAUUUCUGAUCAACAGGUAGUAAUAGCAAACCCCCCUGAAAAGCUAAGAAGCAUUAGAGUGGAUUAUCCAUGAAGAGAGGAUUAGAAAAAGAGAGACUUGGAAUCCAGCAAACGAAACCCCAGCGGGCCAGCUGGCUAAUGUUUGGGAUAAUAAUUCCAAACGUAUUAAAAUAAAUUGUAAAAGAGAAAAGGCCGAAGGCAAUAAAAGCAAGCUUCACACGAUACUGUAUAUUGUGGAUAAAAUCAUGCACAUUCGCAAUAAUCACUUCCCCAGAGGCAAGCAAUACAGGCACCACCAGCAGAGCUGGGGAGAAUUUCAAGACACAAAGCCCGCUGUAUGCCAACAAGAGUUGCUGCAAGUGGGAGGACUUACAACAGAGUCUGCCUAAUAGCCACCGUUCUGGUCCGUUUUUUCCCUGUGGCCUGAGCACUGUCUCAUGCACGAUGUUGAAAUGGGAACGCAAUAGCAGGGUAGGCAACUUCACUCCUCCGCAGUCUUAAAUGCGGUAUUGCUCAAGGAUCUUAUUCCCCUAAGCAGGGAGAGAAAUGCCUUUUCUUUUUUCUCACUUAUGGAGUUUCUCCAGCGACACAGAUCAGCUCUUGUUGGUCUUGUUCACCUCAGCGAGUAGAAUUAAGAAGCUGACAGGAGCGUCGAGCCAUCCAUUUUUGUUUUUACCAUAUCCAGAGCCUGCCACCAUUUUUUAUCUCGAGUAUCUGCUAUUUUCUGGCCCGUUUGAGGUGGCCUUGUUACUUCUAGGAAAUCUGUAAAUGCUAUUUAUUGAAAUGCUCCCCAUAAUUUUUCCAUUUUUAGUUUAGGCCAAUGAAAUAUAACAACUGGCUUAAGCUAGGGGAAAAUCGUAGGGCUAAAUGUUUCUGUAAUUAUAGGCUCCUUCUUAAAUGUUUUUUUGUGAAGUCUGAAAUUCCUUUAUCCUUAAUUUUUGAGUAACUGAUGGAGUCCUUACUGAGGACUUCCCUUCCUGCGUUGAUUUGAGAGUGUGUGAUGAGUCCUCGGUUCAAGUUAGUACCGUUCAUCCAUCCAUUCCAUCUAAUUAUUAAGUACCUAACCCGCAGUGGGCACUGUUCAAGGUGAAAUGAGUACCAGAUGCAUAAAACAUGGUUCUAGUCUUCCAGCUUUUAUGGUUUAUCAGGGAAACAGACAUGCGAUGAGUAGUCAGAGCAAUGGUUUAAGAAAAAGAAUACAGGCUUUCAGAGAGUUCUACAGGAAAUCCAAAGAGAAAGCUCCUGAUUCUUUUUAACGAGGACUCAAAGAAAUCUCUGGAGACGAUUUGAACAUGAAUUAACCUCAAAGAAAGAGUAAGAAGCUAGAGGUCAAAGCUAUGCGGGGAAAGGACAUGCCAGGGAAAGAAGGAGAAGAAACGCAUGUUUUCAAAAGAAAAAGAAACUUGGACAGCCCAGAUGUGCAUCUGUUUCUGUUUGUUCCAGGAUGAAAUACUUGAGCAAUAUUUGUAGGCUGUUGUGUGGUUUUAGUGCAUCCCCAGGAAUCAGCCAAGUCUCUGCCCUAUAAAAACAUGUUUAUUAAUAAAACAGAGCAGUUAAUAACAGUAACUGAGAAUGGAGAGCUUUUUUUUUUUUUAAGCUGGUCUUAAAAGUAAGUGAAGCAGAAGACAAAAUUUCUAGAGUGUCCUGUAAUUCUGAGUUAUUCCAGUAGAUGGCAUUAUUGUAUAAGAACAACCCAUCCAUUAGGGCUAAGGGACUAAAAGAUUUUUCCUGUUUUUCUAGAAGAACCCUCCCUCUCACAGUGAACAAAUCACAGGAGAGAGAGAGAGUAUUUUCUUCUGUGGUACGAUAUGGAUGACGCU
ensembl:lncRNA